UGUUUUUCUACACGAGACCUCAAAACUACGCUCACAGCGGCUACAUGCCAAUUGCCAGAAGUCAUGAAACGCCUGUUGCUGCUCCACAAGUUGACCCGAACUUCACCAGAAGUAUAUCUGAUAGCGGACCAGGGCUCAGAAUUUGUGAACCAUUUAUCUCCCAUCCCGGAGAAGUUAGACAGAUUCCCAUUGAGGUCAAGGAUGAGCCCGGCCCCACUACAUAAUCAGAACGUUCCUGACAUGCUCCUAGAAUCGAGGAUGUCACAGAGACUGCAACAGAAAAUGUCCCAGAGACCAAGUGCUCCACAAGCAGUCUCUCUAGUCUCUAUCUUUAAAGACUGCCGAGCAAGAGAAAGCUUUACGCCAACAAGGAACUGAAGUGGAACGCAUCAGAACGGAAGGUUCUAAUCACUUAUACUCAUGAUUGUUGCUUCCUUUUCAGUUUACUAACCGAUCUCCAUUUAAAAAUUUCAUGUUUUUAUACACGAGAUCUAUAGACUGCAACUCGCAGCCCAAUACAAGACCCAAAGACUGCAGCUCACAUCUCAGCACUAGUUGGAAGUUGGGAGCUCAUCAAUUCCAGAUGAAGUUGAAGAAGCAGAAGAACAACCUCUGGUUUGAAACAGUAGUCGACUUAUGUCCUCUCAAUCUAUUGAUUCUGCUGAAGACAUUGAAGAAGUACACCUAAACUUACUCUCCAG